ensembl:lncRNA
UUCUCCUUCUUGGAUAAAUCCAUGCUGUGUCUCUCUGGAAUGUUUACAGAGCUAUGCAGACCACCAGGGAAAGGCCUUAGGUUUGGUUUUCGGUUUCUAGAGAACUGGAUUAGAUCCCAAAUCUUGAGUUCUAAGAUCAGCACCCCCUGCUACUUUCUCUAGAAAGCGGCUGCCCCCUGAGUUUCUUCCUUAGUCACCAGAGAUGCCUCUUGCCUAGCUUCCAGGUCACCACAUCUCAGUCAGCCCCAGGUUCCAUCUGCUGCUGUGGUGUGGUGUGAUUAUUAGCAGCACACUGUGACCCCUACAAGUGACCCUGUUUGUGUAACAAAUCACACAUGGACCCCAAGUGGAACUCAGAGUAUUAUGACAGCAAAAAGGCAAAAGGUUUGAAGAACUUUUGUAAAAAUUAAAAGCUUAUUAAAGAUGAGAGGGACUGAAGGUUCUUCUCCAAUGAUGCUCUAGCGCUAUAUUUAAGAAGUAGAGAUUAGGAUACAGGGCUUUUCAGAACCUCUGGGAAGCCCUCAACAUUUUAAACAGGGCAUAUUUGCAAGAUCACUACACAGGCACAUAGAGUGCUUCAUGGAAAUGCAAGGUGAUGGCCUUGGCUGGCUUUGGUAAGACUGUGGGUAAGAUCAUGCCAGAUUUUUUUUUUUAAAGAGUAAAGUAGAUUUAAUGUGGCAAAAACAGACUUUGAAAGUUCAGAAGAGGACACGACUGUCAGUGAUCUGCUUCAGACACCGAAAGAGAUACAACAAACAGGUCUCACUGUGUCUCCCUUGUGAGGAACAGACAGGAACAGGCCACCAAGAAAAGAGAAAGUUGGCUUCCCUAGCAAGGAUUUCUUCCUCUGUGAAUGAUGUUCAUGUUGUCACUGCUGCAGUGUCUCAGCCACCUUGAGCCUGAAUCACAAGCUGGACGGAGCUGGCUGCUUGGACAUCUAGAACCUGCUCUCAGCCUGAAUGCAGCUUCUGUUCUCAAAUCCAAGACAGCGUCAUGCAUAAUCCAAUCAGAAUACCACACAUGACACCUUCAGCUUUUUUCUUCAUUACAAAAAAAAAAAAACAAAAGCAAGCAAAGUCAAGCAAACAAACAAAAAUUCAGGAAAGUCGUAUCAGGACAUUUUGAGUAUUUAAUUGUGUGCAGAAGAAACAAUCAUCUCCCUAAAAGGAAGGGAAUUCACUAAAACACUUAUUCACUGGGUAGCUAUAAUCCAAGCUACUAAGGAGACUGAGGCAGGAGGAUCUUAAAUUUGAGGCCAGGGUGGGCAAGCUAGAAAAAAACAUUUUCUAAAACCCAAACAGAAGUGUCUCAGGAGGAGUACGGGCUGGGUUCCAGCCUUGUGAUGAUGGGAUUCAGACCGACACCUAUCUGCCUCAAAACCCUUCCCUCGGCUCAUCCUGGUGGAGCCAGGGCUGGGGCAGCUGUGUCACCUGCCUGCCUCAACACCUGACCUCCCAGGGACACAAAAUCCCCUGCUGUAGUCUGUCCUUAACGUGGGUGAAACACCAUGAUUUCUCUUCCUGUGCGCAUACAGACUUCCAAACUUUCAGGAGUACUGCUUCAGGCUGUAAGGUGAUUUUGUUGUCUCCACUCUACUUUCUGAAUUCCACCUCCUUCUGCUCCUCAUUUGAGAAGAAGGAAAGGUUUAUGAAGCAAUUGCCAUGUUCAAGGGAGAACACAAGAUGAGAGCCCUAGAGGGGAGGGGACUGAAGCAGAGCUAGGCUCCAGUAAAGAAUCCCCACCAACCCACAGAGUGAUGUACAAGUUAUUUUCCUUAACUGAGACUCAGUUUCUCCAAAUGUCAGAGGUGUUGAGAAAAAUUCUAAAUUUCUUUCUGGUGUAAAUAAGCUGAUUUACCCUACUCAGACCCCUGGUAAACUCUGUAGAAGAUGUUUAAGAUCGUAUCUUAACCCUUUUCCUGCUCUGGAGUGUUUCAGCAGUGGCCCUAUAAUUUAUGAACGUAUAAGUUUAAUUUAUAAGUUUAUGCCUUUUUAUAACAUUUUCUUUUAGGGGAGCAGAUAUCUCUUUACAAAAUAGUUUAGGAUUCGUAGCCAUAUCUUAAACAAUUGCGCUGUUUUUAGGCAACUCUGAUGACAUUGGGAGAAACGUAUGUUCCUGUUUCCAGUGUAUUCCCUUAUUAUUAAGCAAUCAAUGCUAUCCUAACUUGCAUGAAACAGGCUCGCAUGAAAUGUACCUGCAUCAGAGAAAUGUCCAUCUAUCAAUGUAGCCUCUUGUAAAGAAUUCGAACUGCUAGAUAAAUUGUUUCCAUUAAGC